CCUACGGGUGGCAGCAGUAGGGAAUCUUCCACAAUGGGCGAAAGCCUGAUGGAGCAACGCAGCGUGGGUGAAGAAGGCCCUCGGAUCGUUAAACCCUGUUGUUAGAGAAGAAAGUGCGUGCGAGUAACUGUUCACGUUUCGACGGUAUCCAACCAGAAAGCCACGGCCAACUACGUCCCAGCAGCUGCGGUAAUACGUAGGUGGCCAGCGUUAUCCGGAUUUAUUGGGCGUAAAGGGAACGCAGGUGGUUGUUUAAGUCUGAUGUGAAAGCCUUCGGCUUAACCGGAGUAGUGCAUUGGAAACUGGCAGACUUGAGUGCAGAAGAGGGGAGUGGAACUCCAUGUGUAGCGGUGAAAUGCGUAGAUAUAUGGAAGAACACCAGUGGCGAAGGCAGCUCUCUGGUCUGUAACUGACGCUGAGGUUCGAAAGCGUGGGUAGCAAACAGGAUUAGAUACCCGGGUAGUC
rnacentral:rRNA from 1 species